GGUUCUGUGGUGCAGUGAUCAUCAUAUCUGUUUUACAAGCAGAAGUUCCUGGGUUCAAUUCCCAGUAGAACCA